rnacentral:lncRNA from 1 species
CUGACUCAGUUUUCAGUUACUCAUUUUCUCUCUUUUACCGACUUGAGACUUCACUUUACUCUAGUUUUGUAGUCUUCUUCAGUCUUCUACACUAGUUUUGCAGUCUUCUUCACAAAUAUGAAAUAUUUUCUCCUCCAUGGCUCCAUUGAAGCUUCUCCUCCAUUAAAGCUCAACGCCUCAACCUGUCGGCCUGCGGCGCCUGCCCUCUCUCAAAUCUAAGCAUCUCCGCCUAGACGCCAACGGUAAGUCGUGACUCGUGAGAUCUCAGAUUUAUACAUCAUAUACACUAUAAUACUUUCUGAUUUUUGAUUUUUGAUUUCUUCACUCUGAGAUCUGAGAUUACUAGGUGUUUCGAAUUUUUUGACCAUAGUACCACAAAAUCUUUUUGCUAUAUUUAUCUUCUCAUAAUCUAUAUUUUUUUUUUCGACCGUCUAUUAGGUGUUUGAUAAAAUUACUGUGAGAAUAUGGUUUGUCAAUUAGACUUCAGUUUCCAAGUUAAUAAGAAACUGCAGAUAUGAUGGAUUAGUAUUUGUUUCUGUUGACUUUGGCUUGGACUGGUCAUCAAUAUUUUAGGCAUUAUGAAGAUAAUUUGUACAUUUUUAAUGCCUUCAUUUUUUACUGUAACAGUGUAACCUACUGUUGUAAACAAUAUAUGCGAAUGGAAUAUGAUAUUUUGUGAUCUAUAAUUUGAACUUUGAAGCCUUCAAUACUCAAUAGUGUAUUGUGUGUUCCAGGUUCAUAACUACUUUCUUUGUAGGCUGUAUGAUCUUUCAAGUGUAAUUAUUGAUAAAUGUCCAUUUGGCCUGGAUCUUGUCUAGAAAUUUGGAUUGUUUUUAUUUAUGCUACAUACAAUGAAAUGUUGUAUUAUUCUUUGGGCUACACCCCGAGAAAAAGAGGAGCCUUUCACUGCUCUCAGAAAAUAGAGUAAUUGACUAGGUUUUGGACUGGCAGUGGUAUUAUUUUUGAUUCAAGUAUCCCUUUCUCUAUGUUUUGGACUGUAUUGAUUUUACAUAAUAAAAAGUAUACAUGAUUUUAUCCCUUUCUCUAUGUAAGGCUCAUUGUUUUGAGCAUGUGCAUGUUAUAAAUUAUAAUGGCUGAGCAGCAGUCUGAGGCACCCAUCAACGUGGAAUCGAAUGCUGAAAAUCUAAUUCAUAUUGAUGAAGAGGAGUUAAUCUUGGAUAUGUAAUAUGUACCUACUGGGCUACUGGGCAGUAAUCUUUGGAAUUUCAUGAGUAAAUUUGGAUAUGUAAAUUUGGUACUGACUACUGAAUGCUUAUGGUUAAUAAUAGUAUAUGUUUAAAGUUUGGUACUGAAUGCUUAUGUAAUAUGUACCUACUGCUACUGGGCAAUAAUAGUAUUCCAGAAAUAUCCAGGUUUUUAAUCUUGGAUAUGUAAAUUUGGUAGUGAAUGCUUGUAUGGGUACAGUAAAUCCAACAGGGUUAUGACUUCUGAUUUCAUUUCAUGAGUUAGUAUUCUAAAAUAGAGUGAUGGCCUUGUUUUAAUGAGUUAGCAUUCUAAAAUAGGGUACACUGGUACAGUAAAUUUGGUACUGAAUGUUUUAUUUUGUUGCAUAACAGAGUGAUGGCCUUGUUUUGUUACAACAGAGGGAACUUUGAACUGGAAAAAUCAUUGAGGACAAGGGUAGCUUUGGCUCUUUGCAACAUAGUAUCAUCUUAUAUGAAAUAAUUCACAAUUUGAAAAAAUAAUUGUUUUCAAGUCUUUAGAAUGGUGGCAACUGGCAAGUCUUUAGAAUUGUUUUCAACUGACUUCUUAUUUUUGACAUAAAAAGCCUUAUUUAUAUGUUCAUAACUUCAUAUGAUAUCAGCCACGGUUUGGGGAAGGUAAACAUUUACUUAAUACACACAUUAGUACAUUACACAUAUAAUAAGAUACCCAUCAAAGAUCAAACCACAAGCAACUGAAGCAAGAAGCAACUAUGUGGAGUCUGUGGAGAUGGUUAGCAGUCUCUACCAUGAUGGAUAUUGGAUAGUGAAACUGUGAAAGUCCACAAAGUACUAUAAAACAGCCACUGUUUUAGAUUUUUUAACAAAGUAAAUCAGCUCUAAAGGGAAGGAAAAAUGCCAAAGCAUUAAUAAUUAUAUACAUGCGGUAUAACCG